rnacentral:rRNA from 1 species
AACGAACGCUGGCGGCAGGCUUAACACAUGCAAGUCGAACGCCCCGCAAGGGGAGUGGCAGACGGGUGAGUAACGCGUGGGAACAUACCCUUUCCUGCGGAAUAGCUCUGGGAAACUGGAAUUAAUACCGUAUACGUCCUUCGGGAGAAAGAUUUAUCGGAGUUGGAUGAGCCCGCGUUGGAUUAGCUAGUUGGUGGGGUAAUGGCCUACCAAGGCGACGAUCCAUAGCUGGUCUGAGAGGAUGAUCAGCCACACUGGGACUGAGACACGGCCCAGACUCCUACGGGAGGCAGCAGUGGGGAAUAUUGGACAAUGGGCGAAAGCCUGAUCCAGCCAUGCCGCGUGAGUGAUGAAGGCCCUAGGGUUGUAAAGCUCUUUCAACGGUGAAGAUAAUGACGGUAACCGUAGAAGAAGCCCCGGCUAACUUCGUGCCAGCCGCCGCAGUAAGAC